AUUGACGAACAGGGAAUUGAGGAUUGUAGUCUGAAGAUGAUUUGGCCUCUCUUCCCUGAAGAAAUACCAGUCCUUUCAGGUGAGAGAACUGACCAGCAGGGAAGCCAACCUGACAAAGAACACUUGCAACUGCCAACAGUUUUGUGACAGACAAGAAGUAAAGCCUUUAUAAUCAUCCAGUUAUCAUCGCAGCUGUUUAUGGCAAAAUAAAAGAGUUUGCCAAGGUG